GGACGGUGAGUAAUACAUAGGAAUCUUCCCAGUAGUGGGGGAUACCGGGAGAAAUCACUUUUAUACCGCAUAUGUCCUACGGGACAAAGCAGGUGACUUUGGGCCUUGCGCUACUGGAUGAGCCUAUGUCGGAUUAGCUAGUUGGUAGGGUAAAAGCCUACCAAGGCAACGAUCCGUAGCUGGUCUGAGAGGAUGAUCAGCCACACUGGGACUGAGACACGGCCCAGACUCUUACGGGAGGCAGCAGUGGGGAAUAUUGCACAAUGGGCGCAAGCCUGAUGCAGCAAUGCCGCGUGUGUGAAGAAGGCCUGCGGGUUGUAAAGCACUUUUAUUAGGAAAGAAAAACACGAAGUUAAUACCUUCGUACUUGACGGUACCUAAAGAAUAAGCACCGGCUAACUCAGUGCCAGCAGCCGCGGUAAUACUGAGGGUGCAAGCGUUAAUCGGAAUUACUGGGCGUAAAGCGAGUGUAGGCGGCUAUUUAAGUCGGAUGUGAAAGCCCCGGGCUCAACCUGGGAAUUGCAUUCGAAACUGGAUAGCUAGAGUUUGGUAGAGGUAAGUGGAAUUCCGGGUGUAGCGGUGAAAUGCGUAGAUAUCCGGAGGAACAUCAGUGGCGAAGGCGGCUUACUGGACCAAAACUGACGCUGAGGCUCGAAAGCGUGGGGAGCAAACAGGAUUAGAUACCCUGGUAGUCCACGCCCUAAACGA
rnacentral:rRNA from 1 species